CUUGGUCGUGACCCCAGGUCGGGCGGGAUUACCCG
rnacentral:rRNA from 1 species